UAGAGAAGUAUGUACAGAGUAAAGUUAUCUGGGAAAAAAAAAAGGAUGCAUCAUGUCAGAUCAGAUGGGAAAUCUUAAACAUACUACUGGUUUGGUGGAAAAGUUUUGAGCAUACCAUAUUUACAAUGCCUCUGACCAGCGCAGUGAUUGAUCUUGCUGCUGCUCAGAGAAGUACUCGUGAGGUUAUUAAGAAGAUUAUGGGGAAAAGAUAAAGACUGGGGCAAUGCCUUUUGAAACCUACUGACGCUAACUGGUUUGAAACAUCCAACAUACUCACUCAUUAAGUCUGUGUUGUAAAUUGCAUCAUGGGAGAGAGCUGGCUGAUUAGCCAACUACCAUCACGUCACACAGGACUGGGACAAUGCUGGCAAGCAAAUUCAGUUAAGAGUGUAUGCACAAAGGUCUUCCACAGAAGUUUUUUUGAACCUGAGUUCAAAUGGCUUUUGUUGUUGUUGUUCUUGUCUUGUGUUUUUGUUGUUGUUGCUGUUGUUUUCUCAGAAGUACUGUCUCC
ensembl:lncRNA